AUUUUGUCUGCGUUCUGUAUAUUAAACAAAUUGAAAUGCUACAAAAUAAUAUACAGGAAUAUCGACAAAACUAAUUUUUUGAUACCGUGUUAUGUAUAUAAGCAAUUGAGACAUCCAUGUACGACAUUAAAAAUGUAGCUUCCGGCAGCUACUGUUAGCUACGUCACAAACGUAAACAAACGGUCGGAUAUUUUUGCGACUUGUGGUAUGGUUGGACGGCGAAAAUGGCUGUAAUAAGUUCAAAAGUUCAUCUAAAAGUUCAAAAUUCCGUCUACUUCAAGCUUACUGGUAAUUUACAACAAAAUUAAUUUGCAACAGUUUUGCAUUCGCAAACCGCAUCA